AGGUGCUGGAAUUCCCGUGUGCACUGUUGCUGGAAGUGCAGGGUAGAACUGACUGGACAUCUGCCCGUGAAGGACAGAGAUGCUCAGAAGCAUGAUGGCAGGAUCUCAGCAAACAUGGUCCACUCACCGAAGAAGCUUGCAGAUGCUACGGUUACUGCUGAGGUCAUCCCUUUGUAGCUUCCAGCUCUUCAGAGCGCUCCAGUGAAAGACCACAGAUGGGAAUUUCCCAUGAUCCCCGUUUCAGUAACAAAACAGAGGUAUAUUAAAAAUCCCUCAGGGAUCCCUA